UACUCCUACGGGAGGCAGCAGUAGGGAAUCUUCGGCAAUGGACGGAAGUCUGACCGAGCAACGCCGCGUGAGUGAAGAAGGUUUUCGGAUCGUAAAGCUCUGUUGUAAGAGAAGAACGAGUGUGAGAGUGGAAAGUUCACACUGUGACGGUAUCUUACCAGAAAGGGACGGCUAACUACGUGCCAGCAGCCGCGGUAAUACGUAGGCCCCGAGCGUUAUCCGGAUUUAUUGGGCGUAAAGCGAGCGCAGGCGGUUAGAUAAGUCUGAAGUUAAAGGCUGUGGCUUAACCAUAGUACGCUUUGGAAACUGUUUAACUUGAGUGCAAGAGGGGAGAGUGGAAUUCCAUGUGUAGUGGUGAAAUGCGUAGAUAUAUGGAGGAACACCGGUGGCGAAAGCGGCUCUCUGGCUUGUAACUGACGCUGAGGCUCGAAAGCGUGGGGAGCAAACAGGAUUAGAUACCCUGGUAGUCCACGCCGUAAACGAUGAGUGCUAGGUGUUAGACCCUUUCCGGGGUUUAGUGCCGUAGCUAACGCAUUAAGCACUCCGCCUGGGGAGUACGACCGCAAGGUUGAAACUCAAAGGAAUUGACGGA
rnacentral:rRNA from 1 species